CACAUGCAAGUCGAACGGUAACAGGAAGCAGCUUGCUGCUUUGCUGACGAGUGGCGGACGGGUGAGUAAUGUCUGGGAAACUGCCUGAUGGAGGGGGAUAACUACUGGAAACGGUAGCUAAUACCGCAUAACGUCGCAAGACCAAAGAGGGGGACCUUCGGGCCUCUUGCCAUCGGAUGUGCCCAGAUGGGAUUAGCUAGUAGGUGGGGUAAAGGCUCACCUAGGCGACGAUCCCUAGCUGGUCUGAGAGGAUGACCAGCCACACUGGAACUGAGACACGGUCCAGACUCCUACGGGAGGCAGCAGUGGGGAAUAUUGCACAAUGGGCGCAAGCCUGAUGCAGCCAUGCCGCGUGUAUGAAGAAGGCCUUCGGGUUGUAAAGUACUUUCAGCGGGGAGGAAGGGAGUAAAGUUAAUACCUUUGCUCAUUGACGUUACCCGCAGAAGAAGCACCGGCUAACUCCGUGCCAGCAGCCGCGGUAAUACGGAGGGUGCAAGCGUUAAUCGGAAUUACUGGGCGUAAAGCGCACGCAGGCGGUUUGUUAAGUCAGAUGUGAAAUCCCCGGGCUCAACCUGGGAACUGCAUCUGAUACUGGCAAG
rnacentral:rRNA from 1 species